rnacentral:rRNA from 1 species
GAUGAACGCUGGCGGCGUGCCUAAUACAUGCAAGUCGAGCGAACGGACGAGAAGCUUGCUUCUCUGAUGUUAGCGGCGGACGGGUGAGUAACACGUGGAUAACCUACCUAUAAGACUGGGAUAACUUCGGGAAACCGUAGCUAAUACCGCAUAAUAUUUUGAACCGCAUGGUUCAAAAGUGAAAGACGGUCUUGCUGUCACUUAUAGAUGGAUCCGCGCUGCAUUAGCUAGUUGGUAAGGUAACGGCUUACCAAGGCAACGAUGCAUAGCCGACCUGAGAGGGUGAUCGGCCACACUGGAACUGAGACACGGUCCAGACUCCUACGGGAGGCAGCAGUAGGGAAUCUUCCGCAAUGGGCGAAAGCCUGACGGAGCAACGCCGCGUGAGUGAUGAAGGUCUUCGGAUCGUAAAACUCUGUUAUUAGGGAAGAACAUAUGUGUAAGUAACUGUGCACAUCUUGACGGUACCUAAUCAGAAAGCCACGGCUAACUACGUG